UCUGGUAGUGCGCAACUGUAGCUCCAGCUACUUGGGAAACUGAGGCAUGAGGAUCGCUUGAGCCCAGGAGUUCUGGGCUGUAGUGGUAUGCCAAUCAGGUGUGUGCACUAAGUACAGCAUCAAUAUGGUGAUGUCCCAGGAGCAGGGGACCACCAGGUUGCCCCAGGAGGAGUGAACCAGCCCAGGUCAGGAAUGGAGCAGAUCAAAACUCCCGUGCUGAUAACCAAAUGCAUUGCACAGCUCUUAAUCAGGUCCCAGAUUGGAAAAAAGAUAAAAUUUUUCAGU
rnacentral:SRP_RNA from 1 species